GUUUCAAUGAAUGCAUCUGAAAAAAAAAAUGGAGAAAUAUCUGAUGUAAACACAUUGAGCAAUAAUCAGAUCAUAAACAAGACAAGAAUGGAGUUGCUAUUAGUAGUUAACAUAGGAAGAGUGCCGCUAAAACCGGUAAUGCAUGCAAGUGAAAGGACAAAAAUGUUUAUCAUCUCAAGCCACGCUUAAGAUUAAGAAGCAAUCAAUAUAUCACUGUGCUUCCCCUAUACAACCUCUUAGUAAGGAUAUAAUUGAUCGAGGAUACAAAUAACAAUGCUGAUGAUACUGCUAGUUUCCUUUCUCUUUUUUUCCACUGUAACGAGGGUCUCAUAAAAAACUAAAACCAACCUCAAGCCCGGCAUUUUUUACUAGUUCUCGGACCUCAUGGUUCCUCCCUUCAUGAACC